GACGAACGCUGGCGGCGUGCUUAACACAUGCAAGUCGAACGAAGUGGCGAACGGGUGAGUAACGCGUAAUCAACCUGCCCUUCAGAGGGGGACAACAGUUGAAAACGACUGCUAAUACCGCAUACUGAAGGAGGUGAUUGCGUCUGAUUAGCUAGUUGGCUGGGUAACGGCCCACCAGGGCGAUGAUCAGUCGCCGGUCUGAGGGGAUGAACGGCCACAUUGGGACGGGGACACGGCCCAGACUGCUAAGGGAGGCAGCAGGGGGGAAUCUGCGGCAAUGGACGAAAGUCUGACGGAGCAACGCCGCGUGAGUGAUGACGGCCUUCGGGUUGUAAAGCUCUGUUAAUCGGGACGCGGUACCGGAAUAGAAAGCCACGGCUAACUACGUGCCAGCAGCCGCGGUAAUUC
rnacentral:rRNA from 1 species